CCGGCGGCUGCGCAGUGUGGGCACAUCCGGGCACUGGGGCAGGAUGAGCGCUCCUUUCCAAGAUGGCGGCGGAGGGAGGAGGGAAGGAGAUGAACGAGAUUAAGACCCAGUUCACCACCCGGGAGGGGCUGUACAAGCUGCUGAGCCACUCGGAGUACAGCCGGCCCAACCGCGUGCCCUUCAACUCGCAGGGCUCCAACCCCGUCCGUGUCUCCUUCGUCAACGUCAACGACCAGAGCGGCAACGGGGACCGGCUCUGCUUCAAUGUGGGCCGAGAGCUCUACUUCUACAUCUACAAGGGGGUCCGCAAGGCUGCGGACUUGAGUAAACCAAUAGACAAAAGGAUAUACAAAGGAACACAGCCUACAUGCCAUGACUUCAAUCACUUAACAGCCACAGCAGAAAGUGUGUCUCUUCUAGUGGGCUUCUCCGCAGGCCAGGUCCAGCUUAUAGACCCUAUUAAAAAAGAAACUAGCAAAUUAUUUAAUGAGGAAAGACUAAUAGACAAGUCCAGAGUAACCUGUGUAAAAUGGGUACCGGGUUCGGAAAGCCUUUUCCUAGUAGCUCAUUCCAGUGGCAAUAUGUACUUGUAUAACGUGGAGCACACUUGUGGUACCACAGCCCCGCACUACCAGCUACUUAAACAAGGAGAGAGUUUUGCAGUGCACACUUGCAAGAGUAAAUCCACAAGAAACCCUCUGCUUAAAUGGACAGUAGGUGAGGGUGCCCUGAAUGAAUUUGCCUUUUCCCCUGAUGGGAAGUUCUUGGCGUGCGUGAGCCAGGAUGGUUUUCUUCGCGUGUUUAACUUUGAUUCGGUGGAGUUGCAUGGUACAAUGAAAAGCUACUUUGGAGGACUGCUGUGUGUGUGUUGGAGUCCCGAUGGGAAGUACAUAGUGACAGGUGGAGAGGAUGACUUGGUGACAGUUUGGUCUUUCGUGGACUGUCGAGUCAUAGCGAGAGGCCACGGACACAAAUCAUGGGUCAGUGUCGUUGCGUUUGAUCCCUAUACCACUAGUGUAGAAGAGAGUGACCCGAUGGAAUUUAGCGGAAGUGAUGAGGAUUUCCAAGACCUCCAUUUUGGCAGAGAUCGAGCCAAUAGCACGCAAUCUAGAUUAUCCAAAAGGAACUCUACAGACAGUCGUCCAGUAAGUGUUACAUAUAGAUUUGGUUCAGUAGGCCAGGACACACAGCUCUGUUUGUGGGAUCUUACAGAAGAUAUCCUCUUCCCCCACCAACCUCUCUCAAGAGCAAGGACACAUACAAAUGUCAUGAAUGCCACAAGUCCACCUGCAGGAAGUGGUGGAACUAACCCGGGAAGUAAUGGAAACAGUAUCACAACACCUGGAAACUCUGUACCCCCUCCUCUUCCACGAUCAAACAGCCUUCCACACUCUGCAGUCUCAAAUGCUGGCAGUAAAAGCAGUGUCAUGGAUGGUGCCAUUGCUUCUGGCGUUAGUAAAUUUGCAACCUUAUCGCUACAUGAUCGGAAGGAAAGACACCAUGAAAAAGAUCACAAGAGAAACCAUAGCAUGGGACAUAUAUCUAGCAAGAGCAGUGACAAACUGAACCUAGUUACUAAAACCAAAACGGACCCAGCUAAAACUUUGGGAACACCUCUCUGUCCCCGAAUGGAAGAUGUUCCCUUGUUAGAGCCUCUUAUCUGUAAAAAGAUAGCACAUGAAAGACUGACUGUGUUAAUUUUUCUUGAAGACUGUAUAGUCACUGCUUGUCAGGAGGGAUUUAUUUGCACAUGGGCAAGGCCUGGUAAAGUGAGAUAAAGUAUGCAGUACCAAAAAUCAGGAUUUAUGUAUUGGCCAAUAUGGAAAACUUUAAUUACAGGGUACUUGAAAGUUGCUUAGUGGAUGUAAUCUUCUGGCAAGAAAGACCUUCCAGUUGCUGCUGGAUUUAAUAGACUUGUGAAGAAUGCUUCAGUAAUGAACUAGAGAGUUCUGAUUCAUCCUCAUCACUUUCCAACAAAACUUCCUUGGUAAAAAAUUUCAUAAGUGCUUCAGUGGCUUGUUUGCUCUCAAGUUCUGCCUUCUUUCACCAUCUAGUCCUUAACUAAUAACUAGGAAGCUUCUUGUUCUCAUUAAAUAUGCAGUAUCUUUGCACAGCCUGAAUGUCAAGUGCAAAAAACAACCCCCUUCAGUCUACCUCAACAGUGUGAGAGUAACAAAACCCCUGCAUAAACCUGAGUACAAAUAAAAAUAAGUGUCCAAGUCCCUUCAGGUGAGAUCUAUGGAGGGCACCAAAUUAAGUGCCACAUCCUUUAUUAUAAAUACAUGUUUAUUAUAAAUAUGGAAUGUAUGCACAUGUACACAGAUCCAGAGUCUGCUAUAAAUCCAGCAAACUAUCCAGGUUCAUAAUGUGUCUGAACCGGUAGAUCAGAUGGUUUUUUAAAAGGAAGGGCUUUGGUUUUAGUAGAAACUUGAUGACUUGAAUCCAGCCAGUCUGCCCUCUUUCCACCUCUUCCAUCAGUCAUGGUCUCUCAUUUCUUGGAUCCAAGCAUGAAAGAGCUCCUGUAGAUUCCGAAGAUGGGACAUAAUUCUAACUUGUAUGCUAAUUGCUGCCUGAGCUUGUCUAGUUUGAUGGAUCUGAGUCCCGGGAUCCUAAUUUCGAGGGUUUAUUGUCAUCCCAAAACCAGGCCAAUUCUCCAAGUGGAACUGUAGUAUAGCCAUCACACUACUGCUAGCAAAUCUCUGAACGCAGGACAAGAAGUAAUGACAGUGGAACCAGGAGCUGUUCUUCAGGCAAAGAGCAUCACAAAUUUUAAUGUGGCAGAGUGUAAACAUGGAAUUAUGUGAAUCACAUAGUGACUUGCAAAGGACAAAUGCAAUGGGUUCUCACUACAGCCGAUCCUGGUAGGCUGCUCACCCAAGGAAGAGUUUGCAUUGGAGAAAAAGCAAAAAGCUUCCUUUGGUGCUGCAGGAAAAAGUAGUAACAUAUUUGGUUUUCUUUAUACUUUUCAAGUCCAGUGUAAUUUAAUCUCUCUAUAUAAAUAUAUAAAUAAAAGAUAUAUAUAUAUAUAUAUAGUGUAAAAUAAGAUAUGUUUCUUAAAUUCAAGUAAGUUCAAUGGUUAAACUAGUACUUCACCAUUGUUUAUUUUGCACUGAUUUUUUUAACCAGAGAUGGCUAGAAGACAGCCUGGAAUGCACUCAUGGAAAAUGAAAGUCAUUACUUUCUGGCUUCAAAAUGUUAUUCAGGAAGAUGGAUGCUGCAAUCAUAGAUUUUUUUAAAACAAAAUUGUUUUGCACUUAAAUAGUUUAAUGCUAAUAGAGAAUUACUUUAAAAUUGGUGUUCAGACACCAGAAAAACUAUGUUGUGGAGAAAAGAUCCUUUGUAUCUAUUAAACAUUUAUUUUAAUAUUGUUGUUUUCAACGGCAAUCGGCUCUGUAUUAUAUGUAUAAAUAAUGUAAUUCAGUGAUGGGGGAGGGGAGUAACGGAUCAUUACACUAGAGAUUCUCAUUCAUUUAAGAAAGUGAUAUUUCUAAUUCAGAAAAUACAUAUUAAACUAUCUUGAAUAUGCA